GAGACCCGUGCCCACUGUUACCAGCAUGUCCUCCGGGACGAUGGGUACUCUGUGGGGACCGCCGGUGUCAAAUCGGAGGAAGGUGCGGGCCACGGUAGGUCAGUAUGCCCCGAAUCUCCCGGGCUACACGCGGGCUACAAUGGAUGGGACAAUGGGUCCCUACCCCGAAAGGGGAUGGUAAUCUCAUAAACCCAUUCGUAGUUCGGAUCGAGGGCUGUAACUCGCCCUCGUGAAGCUGGAAUCCGUAGUAAUCGCGUUUCAAUAUAGCGCGGUGAAUAC
rnacentral:rRNA from 1 species